GAGAUUAUCUCAGUGGUAGAAUGCUUCCCUAGGAAGCAUGAGAUCCUGGGUUCUAUCUCCAGCAUUACA
rnacentral:tRNA from 1 species